CCUACGGGAGGCUGCAGUGAGGAAUAUUGGUCAAUGGACGAGAGUCUGAACCAGCCAAGUAGCGUGAAGGAUGACUGCCCUAUGGGUUGUAAACUUCUUUUAUAUGGGAAUAAAAUGUUCCACGUGUGGGAUUUUGUAUGUACCAUAUGAAUAAUGAUCGGCUAACUCCGUGCCAGCAGCCGCGGUAAUACGGAGGAUCCGAGCGUUAUCCGGAUUUAUUGGGUUUAAAGGGAGCGUAGGUGGAUUGUUAAGUCAGUUGUGAAAGUUUGCGGCUCAACCGUAAAAUUGCAGUUGAAACUGGCAGUCUUGAGUACAGUAGAGGUGGGCGGAAUUCGUGGGGUAGCGGUGAAAUGCUUAGAUAUCACGAAGAACUCCGAUUGCGAAGGCAGUUCACUGGACUGCAACUGACACUGAGGCUCGAAAGUGUGGGUAUCAAACAGGAUUAGAUACCCCUGUAGUC
rnacentral:rRNA from 1 species